GGACUCAAUGGUGGAUUUUAAUUGUGAUGUAGAAGUCAUAGUAACAAACAUUUGUUUUUAUACAGACAUUAUUUCCACUCUGGUGGAUAAGCUCAAUAAGGGCCAUAUGCCACCUCCCAAACACAUAUACAUAUAUAUAGUCACAUACAUUCCAUGUG